rnacentral:antisense_RNA from 1 species
UGCCUGGAGUGAAGAUUCUGCCCAUUGGUCAAGAGACCUCCCUCUCAGAUGCUGGCUCUGCCCCUGCCUUUGGGGGUCGACCCUUGUACUCGCAGGACCUUAGGUGACUCUAUUCUACUUCUCUGAUCAUCCAGGAAGCCAACCUGCCUGAGGACGAGUCAUACUCUGUCCUCCCACCCCAGGCCAGAGAGUGGUAUCUGUCUGUCCACAAGUUCUUGAUGCAGAUGAGCAGGUAACCAUGGAAGUCGUGAGCUGAGGCUGCAGAGUCUAGAGCCAGAGUGUGGAAUAAACUUGGGUCUCAAAUCACCCCUGGAGCAAAGCCCCCAUCUAAUCAGGAACUUCUACUUUCAACUUUACAUGCGUGAGAAAUGAACUUCUAUCAUGUUAGAACUUUGAUGUCUUCAAAGCAAGGCGAGUGAGUGGCACUCUUCGGACAAGAAGGAAGAUGGCAGGUGAAAUCAUCUUCUUCUAAUGAGCCCUGUGCUAUGCUUGCUGAUGUCCUUGGUCACGGAGAUUUUCAGAAGAGCCAUGGCCUUACCAGUGAAGGUUACACAGAGGCCACUGGAGUCAAGUAAUUCAUUGCACCUUAUUACAUUUAGGCACUUCUUUAUCCAUCAUGCAGGCUAUUGGGAUUAAAAUGGGUCCUUUCAACAAUGAGUCAAUAUUGAA